rnacentral:lncRNA from 1 species
CUCCACCCAUGGCGCGGGCCCGGCCGUCAGGCAAACCCCAGGGCGUCGGCCGCCGCCUCAAAGGCCCCGGCGGGCCCCGCGCCGCGCGCCUUGAGGACGGGCCCGGAGCGUGGGGCCGCGGCGGCGCCGAGUUGAGCGAGUGAGCGCGAGGCAGCGAGACAAAGAUAACCCGGGAGGCGGAGGCGGAGGCGGGGAGCGAGGCGGGGAGCGAGGUGGGGAGAGAGGUGGGGAGAGAGGGGGCGGCGGCGGCGCGGGAGGAGGAGAAACGGGACACCAAAAUAUAUUCUGAGGAGACAGAAAACAGCUCCCCCUUUCCUCCUCAGGCAGGAAAAACCGGCGGAAACGCACUCACACCCCUACCCUGCCGGGGAGGGCGCGGGCCGAGGCGCCCGCGCGGCGUGAAUAUUCAUCAGGGGUGGGGCCCGAACAAUGGCCGGGCCGGCGGGCAGUGCGGGCAGCGGCCCCGACACGACGCCCGGCGCCCAGGGUGCGGCCUCGGCGCUCGACCCCGCACGGCGCUCCCGAAAACAGCAGGAGCGGGGAGGAAACGGGCUGGGAUUUCCCCGGGGAGGAGCUGCGGUGGAGAAACGCCCCUACCUCGCGCUAACAACAAAUGACAUGAAACUGAGCUGGACCGACGCUAAGAGGACAGGGACCCUCGUGUCUCCCAGGACAAGGCUAAUUCUCAGGAUUGACCAGACCAGUGGUCCUCUCUUAUGCUCAGACAUUUAAUAUAUCACAACUGAAAUAGAAUCAUGAGUUGGAACAUCAUGCAUCAGAUCCUGGCCAGUAUGCAUAAGAGCCUUCAUUGAAGAGGAGGUUCAAUCAUAAUCAAGUCGAUCCCUUCAAAAAUGAAUGAACCACAAGGCUCCAUUAGUGAUACUGCACGCUCGCCCAUCCUACUGAUUUACAGUUUUCAGUCAAUUAUAGUGAUUCCAAUCUCAACACCUUCUAAAAUAUGUCCUAUAACAAAAGACUAAGUGGCGACAUGCCAACGAUAAACUAUGAAGUGAAAAUGCCAUAUUUAUAAAUUACAGACUUUGAGG